rnacentral:lncRNA from 1 species
CUUUGAUUCUGAUUUGUUAGAUAUACUUGCCUAUGGAUUUGAACUAAUUUUGCAUUAGGUAGUGUGUGAUACAUAGGUUGAACAACUAUCCGAGAAUAGCCACGUCCAUGUUCCAAUGCAUAUUGUAAACAGAUGCACUUAAAAUAUCAAAAUUACAUUUAGAUCAUCAUAUAAAGAUGACCUUGUUUUCAAAAGCGAUUGGAAUUUAUAUCUUAUAUGUCUGAACAAUCUAUUUGAUUAUUAAUUGAUUGGGGAGGGUUAAGGAUGACUACUAAAGAAAGUCAAUUAGUUAUUUGUUAAGGUUUUUUUUUAAUUCUAUGACCAAAGUUAGACGAGGAAAUAAGGCUCGGACACAUCAAAUAAAAUUUUCAUUUAUUUGUGUUAACCUUUAGGAAACUCAUUUCAUAUUUGCUUGAAUAAACCACUCAAUGAACAAGAACUUUGUUUGAACAACCAAUGUUGUAGCCCCUAGGACCCUUCUCUAUUAAAUCUAGAACCAUGCAAGCACUACCCAGAAUUAUUUCUAAAAUAAAUUUUUAAAGUAUUUUGUACUUAUCAAAUUUUUUCAUUAUUUUUCAAAAAAAGGCAAGUUUGCCUUAGACCCCAAAUGUAUUGGGCCGCCCCUGCCCUUACCCUUCCUUCCCUAUAGGCCCCUCCGUUCUCCCACAACUUUCCUUGCACCCUAGUCUCUCCCUCUCCUAUCCUCUAAUCUCCAUCUCUCUUUUUCAAAUUCUGAUAUAGUUUGUUUUAUUUUAUUUUUACAUAUCUUUAAUUUAUAAUAUCUAUUACUUUUUUGGGACCUC